rnacentral:sRNA from 1 species
CCAAAAGGAUCGUCUGCUAAGUACGCCUCGUCCUGAGGCAACGCAGACGCUAGCACUUCCUGUGCG